rnacentral:rRNA from 1 species
UACGAAGGGGGCUAGCGUUGCUCGGAAUCACUGGGCGUAAAGCGCACGUAGGCGGAUUGUUAAGUCAGGGGUGAAAUCCUGGAGCUCAACUCCAGAACUGCCUUUGAUACUGGCGAUCUCGAGUCCGGGAGAGGUGAGUGGAACUGCGAGUGUAGAGGUGAAAUUCGUAGAUAUUCGCAAGAACACCAGUGGCGAAGGCGGCUCACUGGCCCGGUAC